rnacentral:rRNA from 1 species
CCACUUACCUUACCCCGUUCGUUGGUCCGUUCCGUUACGUCCCCUACCCCGAACCGUAACCGUCCCGGGACCCGGUCCGUUACCGGGAACCGGGGCCGAAAGGUUUAAAAGGUUUAAAACCUUUAACCGUUUACGACCGUUUUGGUUUUACGGUUAACCCGGUUUAAACCCCAAACGAAACGUAAAAGUAAACGACCCGGACCCGGAACCUUUAAACCGUUUCGGUUCCGACCGACGACGACGCCCGGACGGUUAACUAACGGGUAAGGGGUCGAACGAACGGUACGUUUAACGGUACGGUAAACUUUACGGUCGGGUAACGGUAAACGGCCGGCCGGUACGGUUAGGGUUCGGGUUUAACGGUUUUAAGGGUUAGGUAGUUGGUAAGAAAACCCGGGCCCCCGGGUCCUAACCCUAACCGGUAACGGGUAAACGUCGACUACUAAACCCUAAAAACGGUCGGGACGGACGACCUAAGGGUAAGUUAGGUCGGACAAGGGGUAGGGGUUGGGAAGGUUUAACCUUUUCCGUUGGUUAGUACGGGCGGGUAAAGUAAAGUCGGUACGGUAAGAAUUAAGGUAAAGGGGAAAACGGAAACCCAACCGUAGGGUCGGGAACGGGAACGGGACCCGAACCCCUACCGGGUCGGGUAACUUAAACUUACGUACGAACCUACUAGGGAGGUCGAACGAAGCGGGUAGGGANACAACGAGUAUAGACCUACCGUAGGUACNCCACCGAACCGUAACGNUGUAGUGACUAGUUGGUUGGGGGUUUCCCGCCCCUCAGUGCCGCAGCUAACGCAUUAAGCACUCCGCCUGGGAGUAC